rnacentral:tRNA from 1 species
AGCUCAGUGGUAGAGCAGCUGAUUCGUAAUCAGCAGGUCGAGGGUUCGACUCCACUUC